rnacentral:rRNA from 1 species
GACGUAGGGCGCGAGCGUUGUCCGGAUUUAUUGGGCGUAAAGAGCUCGUAGGCGGUGUGUCACGUCGUUCGUGAAAACCUGCAGCUUAACUGUGGGCGUGCGGUCGAUACGGGCAUCACUGGAGUUCGGCAGGGGAGACUGGAAUUCCUGGUGUAGCGGUGAAAUGCGCAGAUAUCAGGAGGAACACCGGUGGCGAAGGCGGGUCUCUGGGCCGAUACUGACGCUGAGGAGCGAAAGCAUGGGGAGCGAACAGG